AUUGAACGCUGGCGGAAUGCUUUACACAUGCAAGUCGAACGGCAGCACGGACUUCGGUCUGGUGGCGAGUGGCGAACGGGUGAGUAAUACAUCGGAACGUGCCCAGUCGUGGGGGAUAACGUAGCGAAAGCUACGCUAAUACCGCAUACGAUCUAAGGAUGAAAGCGGGGGAUCGCAAGACCUCGCGCGAUUGGAGCGGCCGAGGGCAGAUUAGGUAGUUGGUGGGGUAAAGGCUCACCAAGCCGACAAUCUGUAGCUGGUCUGAGAGGACGAACCGCCACACUGGGACUGAGACACGGCCCAGACUCCUACGGGAGGCAGCAGUGGGGAAUUUUGGACAAUGGGCGCAAGCCUGAUCCAGCCAUUCGGCGUGCAGGAUGAAGGCCCUCGGGUUGUAAACUGCUUUUGUACGGAACGAAAAGGCUCUGGUUAAUACCCGGGGCUCAUGACGGUACCGUAAGAAUAAGCACCGGCUAACUACGUGCCAGCAGCCGCCGUAA
rnacentral:rRNA from 1 species